rnacentral:rRNA from 1 species
GACGAACGCUGGCGGCGUGCCUAACACAUGCAAGUUGAGCGACGAACCAGGGCUUGCCCUGGGGCAAAGCAGCGAACGGGUGAGUAACACGUGGGUAACCUGCCCCGAUGACCGGGACAACUCGAGGAAACUCGAGCUAAUACCGGAUGUGGCUACUGGACUCAAGUCCGGUCGUCAAAGGAAGCUUCGGCCUCCGCAUUGGGAGGGGCCCGCGGCCCAUUAGCUAGUUGGUGAGGUAAGAGCUCACCAAGGCAACGAUGGGUAGCUGGUUUGAGAGGACGAUCAGCCACACUGGGACUGAGACACGGCCCAGACUCCUACGGGAGGCAGCAGUGGGGAAUCUUGCGCAAUGCGCGAAAGCGUGACGCAGCAACGCCGCGUGGGGGAAGAAGGCCUUCGGGUUGUAAA